rnacentral:lncRNA from 1 species
AACCAUACGUGUCAUGUUAAGACAUAUGUGUCAUGCCAUGCUUAAACAAAAAUUAUUCCACAUGCAACGGGACGGAGUACUUCAGUAUAACCCUAAUCCCAACUCUAACAUCUCGAUUUAUUUCAACACUUAUGUCUCAACUAACCUCAACUCUAACAUCUCAAACCUCUCAUUCCAACAGGACUGGCGCCCAGAGAGCAAAGCUCGACCAAGGACCUUACCUCCAGUCCGGUCACUUAACUCUCAGCCUUAGCCUUUCGGCUCUCUUAUCCAAUAAGAUUGGCGCCCAAAGAGCAUAGCUCGACCAGGGACCUUACCUCCAGUCUGGUCACUUAAAUUUCC